rnacentral:rRNA from 1 species
CACGUAGGGCGCAAGCGUUGUCCGGAAUUAUUGGGCGUAAAGAGCUCGUAGGCGGUCUGUUGCGUCCGCUGUGAAAACCCGGGGCUUAACCCUGGGUUGGCAGUGGAUACGGACAGACUAGAGGUAGGUAGGGGAGAAUGGAAUUCCCGGUGUAGCGGUGAAAUGCGCAGAUAUCGGGAGGAACACCGGUGGCGAAGGCGGGUCUCUGGGCCGAUACUGACGCUGAGGAGCGAAAGCUAGGGGAGCGAAUGGG